rnacentral:rRNA from 1 species
UACGUAGGGGGCAAGCGUUACCCGGAUUCACUGGGCGUAAAGCGCGUGUAGGCGGCUGGCCAAGCGUGGUGUGAAAUCUCCGGGCUCAACCCGGAAACUGCACUGCGAACUGGCCUGGCUGGAGUGCAGGAGAGGGAUGCGGAAUUCACGGUGUAGCGGUGAAAUUCGUAGAUAUCGGGAGGAACACCAGUGGCGAAGGCGGCGACCUGGGCCAAUAUUGACGCUGAGGUGCGAAAGCGUGGGGAGCAAACAGG